UGGGGAGUACGACCGCAAGGUUAAAACUCAAAUGAAUUGACGGGGACCCGCACAAGUAGUGGAGCAUGUGGUUUAAUUCGAAGAUACGCGCAGAACCUUACCAACACUUGACAUGUUCGUCGCGACUCUAAGAGAUUAGAGUUUUCGGUUCGGCCGGACGAAACACAGGUGCUGCAUGGCUGUCGUCAGCUCGUGUCGUGAGAUGUUGGGUUAAGUCCCGCAACGAGCGCAACCCUCACUUUUAGUUGCCAUCAUUAAGUUGGGCACUCUGAAAGAACUGCCAGUGAUAAGCUGGAGGAAGGUGGGGAUGACGUCAAGUCCUCAUGGCCCUUACGUGUUGGGCUACACACGUGCUACAAUGGUAUCUACAACAGGAAGCAAAACGGCAACGUUAAGCAAAUCCCGAAAAGAUACCUCAGUUCGGAUUGCACUCUGCAACUCGAGUGCAUGAAGCUGGAAUUACUAGUAAUCGUGGAUCAGCGUGCCACGGUGAAUGCGUUCCCGGGUCUU
rnacentral:rRNA from 1 species